rnacentral:rRNA from 1 species
CAACGGGCAUGCCUUAGUACGGCGAGUGAGCGGCAAAAGCUCAAAUUUGAAAUCGGCCACCAGGUCGAGUUGUAAUUUGAAGAUUGUAUCUUGAGAGCGGAUUAAAGUCUGUUGGAACACAGCGCCUUAGAGGGUGACAGCCCCGUAAAAUCUAUUCUCAUUGUAAGAUACUUUCGAAGAGUCGAGUUGUUUGGGAAUGCAGCUCUAAGUGGGAGGUAAAUUCCUUCUAAAGCUAAAUAUUGACGAGAGACCGAUAGCGAACAAGUACUGUGAAGGAAAGAUGAAAAGCACUUUGAAAAGAGAGUGAAAAAGUACGUGAAAUUGUUAAAAGGGAAGGGUAUUGAAUCAGACUUGGUGCUGUUGUUCAACUGUGUUUCGGCAUAGUGUACUCAGCAGUACUAGGCCAAGGUGGGGUGUUUGGGAGUGAAAAAGAAGUUGGAACGUAACUCUUCGGAGUGUUAUAGCCUACUUUCAUAGCUCCUCAGGCGCCUCAGGACUGCGCUUCGGCAAGGACCUUGGCAUAAUGAUUCUAUACCGCCCGUCUUGAAACCACGGACCA